CCAAACAUUUCUGCUGAGUUUCAAGCACACUUAGGUCAAGCUGCUGUUUCUGCAGCAAAGGCAGUUAACUAUUACAAUGCUGGGACAGUGGAGUUUAUAGUUGAUACGGUCUCUGGCCAGUUUUACUUUAUGGAGAUGAAUACCCGUCUUCAGGUUGAACAUCCUGUCACAGAGAUGAUUGUUGGUCAAGAUCUUGUUGAAUGGCAAAUCCAUGUUGCCAAUGGAGACCCUCUUCCGUUGAGUCAAUCACAGAUUCCAAUAUUAGGUCAUGCUUUUGAAGCUCGAAUCUAUGCUGAAAAUGUUCUAAAA